UACGUAGGGCGCAAGCGUUAUCCGGAAUUAUUGGGCGUAAAGAGCUCGUAGGCGGUUUGUCGCGUCUGCCGUGAAAGUCCGGGGCUCAACUCCGGAUCUGCGGUGGGUACGGGCAGACUAGAGUGAUGUAGGGGGAGACUGGAAUUCCUGGUGUAGCGGUGAAAUGCGCAGAUAUCAGGAGGAACACCGAUGGCGAAGGCAGGUCUCUGGGCAUUAACUGACGCUGAGGAGCGAAAGCAUGGGGAGCGAAUGGG
rnacentral:rRNA from 1 species